CUGCUAUUUUGGCUUACAUUUCAUAACUUGUCAGUUCAGCAUAAUUCUGUUAUUGAAUUAGCUCUUACAGGGUUUUAUUUUUAUUAACAGGCAAAUCGUCAGGAAGUCAAAGCACUUGAAAGUGAAUUUCAAUUUAAAGUUACAUUGGCUGAACUGAAGCUAUAGUGGACUUAAAAAUGACUUUCAGUGUGGGAAUUGCCGAAUGCAAAGUGAAUUUCAAAUUUAAA